rnacentral:rRNA from 1 species
AGAGUUUGAUCCUGGCUCAGGAUGAACGCUGGCGGCGUGCUUAACACAUGCAAGUCGAACGAAGCACUUUAUUUGAUUUCCUUCGGGACUGAUUAUUUUGUGACUGAGUGGCGGACGGGUGAGUAACGCGUGGGUAACCUGCCUUGUACAGGGGGAUAACAGUUGGAAACGGCUGCUAAUACCGCAUAAGCGCACAGCAUCGCAUGAUGCAGUGUGAAAAACUCCGGUGGUAUAAGAUGGACCCGCGUUGGAUUAGCUAGUUGGUGAGGUAACGGCCCACCAAGGCGACGAUCCAUAGCCGACCUGAGAGGGUGACCGGCCACAUUGGGACUGAGACACGGCCCAAACUCCUACGGGAGGCAGCAGUGGGGAAUAUUGCACAAUGGGGGAAACCCUGAUGCAGCGACGCCGCGUGAGUGAAGAAGUAUUUCGGUAUGUAAAGCUCUAUCAGCAGGGAAGAUAAUGACGGUACCUGACUAAGAAGCACCGGCUAAAUACGUGCCAGCAGCCGCGGUAAUACGUAUGGUGCAAGCGUUAUCCGGAUUUACUGGGUGUAAAGGGUGCGUAGGUGGCAAGGCAAGUCUGAAGUGAAAAUCCGGGGCUCAACCCCGGAACUGCUUUGGAAACUGUUUAGCUAGAGUACAGGAGAGGUAAGUGGAAUUCCUAGUGUAGCGGUGAAAUGCGUAGAUAUUAGGAGGAACACCAGUGGCGAAGGCGGCUUACUGGACGAUAACUGACGCUGAGGCUCGAAAGCGUGGGGAGCAAACAGGAUUAGAUACCCUGGUAGUCCACGCCGUAAACGAUGA